rnacentral:rRNA from 1 species
UUUGAAGUGUGGACGCCAGUCUGCAUGGAGCCGGCCUUGAAAUACCACCCUUUAAUGUUUGAUGUUCUAACGUGGACCCGUGAUCCGGGUUGCGGACAGUGUCUGGUGGGUAGUUUGACUGGGGCGGUCUCCUCCUAAAGAGUAACGGAGGAGCACGAAGGUUGGCUAAUCCUGGUCGGACAUCAGGAGGUUAGUGCAAUGGCAUAAGCCAGCUUGACUGCGAGCGUGACGGCGCGAGCAGGUGCGAAAGCAGGUCAUAGUGAUCCGGUGGUUCUGAAUGGAAGGGCCAUCGCUCAACGGAUAAAAGGUACUCCGGGGAUAACAGGCUGAUACCGCCCAAGAGUUCAUAUCGACGGCGGUGUUUGGCACCUCGAUGUCGGCUCAUCACAUCCUGGGGCUGAAGUAGGUCCCAAGGGUAUGGCUGUUCGCCAUUUAAAGUGGUACGCGAGCUGGGUUUAGAACGUCGUGAGACAGUUCGGUCCCUAUCUGCCGUGGGCGCUGGAGAACUGAGGGGGGCUGCUCCUAGUACGAGAGGACCGGAGUGGACGCAUCACUGGUGUUCGGGUUGUCAUGCCAAUGGCACUGCCCGGUAGCU